CCUUGAGUACCUGAGGUCUUCUGGAGAUUUCCAGUGUAAAUCCAUAACGUACAAACUGUUGUUUCAGGACAUUUCACUAGAAAACAGGAGCACCAGCAAGUGGCAUUUCCAAAAGUCAGUGGGGGCCUGGGGAACUCUGCAGCUGCUGUGCAGAAGUGACAGGUGGGAGGCAGAAAUGCACCUUAUGCUGUGGUCUGGCUGUCACUGUCAUGCUCUGCUGGACUCCUACCUAGGGAGAAGCUCUCAAAGAAGCUGUCUUGAAGACUGUUGUUAGGGAGUUGAAUCCAAAUUACAAGCAGGAUCCAAGGGGGCAUUUGGAAAUCCUUACAUUGGGUCCAUGGAUCCAAGUUAGGGCCAAAAAUGGGUAUAAGAAAACCUGCAGAUAAAGAGCUAAUUGGAUUCUUGUACAUACAAAAUCCCAUGUUGCUACAAGAGUGCAAAGCACUUGUUGCAAAGUGCAAAGCAAAUGACACAUCCAGACCACCCAAGUUCUAAGAUAUACCUAGAGUGCAAAAAACAUUACAUAAAACUAGAGCAGUUGUCCUGUCUCAAACAGAAGAUGCACUGAGCCUAGUACUCUGAUAACAGUUUAGUUUGGGAAGGGGACCUCCAGGUUAUUGGAAAUGGGUGCUUUCUUACAUACAUCCUUCAGAAGUACAGAAAUAACUCAAAGCUUAUUUAAUAAAUAUUUGCAUGCUGCAGUGCUGGUUUUAGUCUUUUUCUAACACUUGCCCUGGCCCUAACCUUCUGCCUUGCCUUUGAUCUUGGAGUCUCAGAGCCUUAGUUCCUAGCUAUUGCUGCCAUUAUUUCUUC